AGAGGCCCAAUAUUAAUAAAUAAGCCAGCCCAACUCAAUUAAAAUAAAAGCCCAAUUUAAAAAUAAAUAGUAGCCCAUCUCCACAUAACUCUCGGUUCUCUCUCUGUAAAACCAAUCUCGCCUUUCUCUCUCUCUCUGGAAGAGCCGACCCUCCCUUUUUUUUUUCCUCAAAGCAGACACCCCUCUCUAUCUAUUUCUCCCUUUUUCUCAGCCUCCUUCAAUCGGCUGAGAGCGGCGCCGCCUCCGGCGCGCCGCCUCGCCGUUGCCUCCUCCCUUCACUUCUCGGUUCUCUCCCUCUCUCUGGAUUUUCAGAUCGGCCGAGCUCUCUCUCAACCACCGAGAACCGCUCAGCCCCUUCCUCUCAGUUCCGGUCGGUUCCUUCUUCUCCGGCCGCUCAGCGGCCGUCGAUUCCGGUCUGCUUCGACCGGCUGUCGCACCUCCAUAUGAAAUCCGGCGGCUCAAACGGCGCCGGUCGUCGUCUGGAAGUGGCUGCUGCUUCGCCUGGAGUCGCCGCCGGCUGGAGUUGCUGCUGCUCGUCCGGUGGUCAGCGCCUGCUGGAGGAGCGCUGCCGCCGCCCGCUGCUUAAGCCUUCCAGCGCCGCCGUGCUGUCACUGAGCAACCGGCGAGAAGAGUACGCCGCUGCUGCUGCCGUUCGAAGGUUCGGUAAAGUCGCUAGCGUCGCUCCCUCGAGCUUCGACGCCACUGCUGCUACUGGAAUCUUCUGCUUCGCCGUGUCGCUGCACUCCAGAAUCGGUGAGCACCGCCGCUGCUGCGAUGCGAUUUCCGGCGAACAGGGGAGAGUCCGCCGUUGCUGCUUUCUCCGAGAAGCUCGCGAAUGGCCGCCCAGACGUCGUCUCUCAACUGGACUAAGCAGGGCAGCCCUCUAAAGCUAUGUUCUCUCGUCUACUUUUUAUCGAUUCGAAAACGUGAACUAGACAAGGUUGCAUAUGGAAGAAAUGUGAAGAAAUUGAACCAAGCUUACCUCUGAAAUUUUGGCAGCAGGGCGAUGAAUGCAGAUUUCUCCUGGGUGAAUUCCCUUGUGAAGAUUGGGAGUGAAAAUGGUGUAAUAUUGCAUAAUUGAGUGAUGAGUGGUGGGAAAAAUGAUGAGCGGUGGGGGAAAGUGAGUGGUGGGGAAAAGUGGUGUAGAGAAGUGGGGAACAAAAAUUAAUGGAAAGAAAAAGAAAGAAAAAAAAAUGUAGAGAAGAAUUAAUGAUGUAUUUUCUAUGUCUCGGUGAUUCUGUAACUGUAAUAAAAUACUGGCUUCGAUUC